rnacentral:rRNA from 1 species
GUCGGCUCAUCACAUCCUGGGGCUGUAGCCGGUCCCAAGGGUAUGGCUGUUCGCCAUUUAAAGUGGUACGUGAGCUGGGUUUAGAACGUCGUGAGACAGUUCGGUCCCUAUCUGCCGUGGGUGUUCGAAACUUGAGAGGACUUUUUCCUAGUACGAGAGGACCGGAAAGAACGUACCUCUGGUGGAUCGGUUGUCACGCCAGUGGCAUAGCCGAGUAGCUAAGUACGGUCGAGAUAACCGCUGAAAGCAUCUAAGCGGGAAACUCACCUCAAAACCAGGUUUCGCUCGAGAGCCGGGGAAGACUACCCCGUCGAUAGGCCAGGUGUGUAAGCGCAGCAAUGCGUUGAGCUUACUGGUACUAAUCGCUCGAUUGGCUUGAUCGC